rnacentral:rRNA from 1 species
GACGAACGCUGGCGGCGUGCUUAACACAUGCAAGUCGAACGGAAAGGCCCUGCUUUUGUGGGGUGCUCGAGUGGCGAACGGGUGAGUAACACGUGAGUAACCUGCCCUUGACUUUGGGAUAACUUCAGGAAACUGGGGCUAAUACCGGAUAGGAGCUCCUGCUGCAUGGUGGGGGUUGGAAAGUUUCGGCGGUUGGGGAUGGACUCGCGGCUUAUCAGCUUGUUGGUGGGGUAGUGGCUUACCAAGGCUUUGACGGGUAGCCGGCCUGAGAGGGUGACCGGCAGCAGUGGGAAGGAGUGACGACGCAGAGUCCGACGGGAGGGAGCAGUGGGGAGUGGUGCACAAGGGGCGGAAGCCUGAUGCAGCAACGCCGCGUGCGGGAGGACGGCCUUCGGGGAGGAAACCGCUUGCACCUGUGACGAAGCGUGAGUGACGGUAAUGGGUAGAGAAGCACAGGCGAGCUACGUG